rnacentral:rRNA from 1 species
AGAGCGAACGCUGGCGGCGUGCUUAACACAUGCAAGUCGCACGAGAAAGGGGCUUCGGCCCUGAGUACAGUGGCGCACGGGUGAGUAACACGUGAAUUAUCUACCUCCGAGUGGGGAAUAACUGAGAGAAAUCUUAGCUAAUACCGCAUAACACUUACGAGUCAAAGCAGCAAUGCGCUUGGAGAGGAGUUCGCGGCCGAUUAGUUAGUUGGCGGGGUAAUGGCCCACCAAGACGAUGAUCGGUA